CGCCAGUCUGCAUGGAGCCGACCUUGAAAUACCACCCUUUAAUGUUUGAUGUUCUAACGUGGACCCGUAAUCCGGGUUGCGGACAGUGUCUGGUGGGUAGUUUGACUGGGGCGGUCUCCUCCUAAAGAGUAACGGAGGAGCACGAAGGUUGGCUAAUCCUGGUCGGACAUCAGGAGGUUAGUGCAAUGGUAUAAGCCAGCUUGACUGCGAGCGUGACGGCGCGAGCAGGUGCGAAAGCAGGUCAUAGUGAUCCGGUGGUUCUGAAUGGAAGGGCCAUCGCUCAACGGAUAAAAGGUACUCCGGGGAUAACAGGCUGAUACCGCCCAAGAGUUCAUAUCGACGGCGGUGUUUGGCACCUCGAUGUCGGCUCAUCACAUCCUGGGGCUGAAGUAGGUCCCAAGGGUAUGGCUGUUCGCCAUUUAAAGUGGUACGCGAGCUGGGUUUAGAACGUCGUGAGACAGUUCGGUCCCUAUCUGCCGUGGGCGCUGGAGAAUUGAGGGGGGCUGCUCCUAGUACGAGAGGACCGGAGUGGACGCAUCACUGGUGUUCGGGUUGUCAUGCCAAUGGCACUGCCCGGUAGCUAAAUGCGGAAGAGAUAAGUGCUGAAAGCAUCUAAGCACGAAACUUGCCCCGAGAUGAGUUCUCCCUGACUCCUUGAGAGUCCUGAAGGAACGUUGAAGACGACGACGUUGAUAGGCCGGGUGUGUAAGCGCAGCGAUGCGUUGAGCUAACCGGUACUAAUGAACCGUGAGGCUUAACCUUACAACGCCGAAG
rnacentral:rRNA from 1 species